rnacentral:rRNA from 1 species
UACAGAGGUCUCAAGCGUUGUUCGGAUUCAUUGGGCGUAAAGGGUGCGUAGGUGGCGUGGUAAGUCGGGUGUGAAAUUUCGGAGCUUAACUCCGAAACUGCAUUCGAUACUGCUGUGCUUGAGGACUGGAGAGGAGACUGGAAUUUACGGUGUAGCAGUGAAAUGCGUAGAGAUCGUAAGGAAGACCAGUGGCGAAGGCGGGUCUUUGGACAGUUCCUGACACUGAGGCACGAAGGCCGGGGGAGCAAACGGG